rnacentral:lncRNA from 1 species
UCCAGCCCUGGCAACCUUUUCUCUUCCAGCCGGGGAUCUUGCAGCACAAUCCCAGAGGCCUGGCUUUGCACGCACGGAUCCCGGGCGGGGUGGGGGAGAGCUGGGGCCAUCAGGGGGCCCAGGCUCUGGUCCCUUCUCCUGACCCCCAGGCCAGGGCUGGCCCUGGGCAGAGGCAGAGUGAGGGGGGGAUUGAUAGAAAGAGCCUGACCCAGCCCCAUGCCUGGUGCCUCUGUUCCUUUGGGCUAAGGCAUUUCCCCCCAAUCUCGAGUAGCAUUGCAAAUAUUUCCGAUCUGGGCAGUCGUUAACACAAUGUUAUGGGUUCUCUGUUCAGCUGGGAGAUCGCUCAGGAGAGGGACAGAAGAGGGAUUCCCGGUGGCUCUGUUUCUCUGGGGUCAGGGCUAUUCCAUCAGUCAAAUCUGCACACGGAGAUGUGUACCAUGCCAGACAGCGGGCAAUGUGGAGACGAACCCCAAGGCUCCUAUCCUCAAGAGCCCACGCUGGGCCGAGUCCUGCCUCAAUUUUGAGAAGAGAAGUUUGGGCACCUCUGCCAGGCACAAGUGGGCCCUGACCUCUGCUGCUCGUCUACAACUAUGUUGCUGGGAAAUAGCCCCCAUCUUACAUUUUCGACGUGGCAUUGGCAGCCAAACCCAGAGCACAGCUCCACAACCGAGAAGCAUCAGCCAGCUUUGCUGGCCCUGUGACGCCGUGGUUCUGAAGGCUCCACCUUGUGCCCUUUGUCUUGGAGGUCUGUCUCUUCCCCUACAACCCUCUUCCUCACUAGUAAGACUUGGAUUUGCUGGUGUCCACACCCAUUCCACCUGAGUUUCCAGGGUACAUCCUAACUAUUACCGCCAAACAUGAGACACUGUGCCACUUUGGACUGAAAAAGGAGAUCAAGCGCUGAGUAAGACAGAGAAGGUCCCUGCCCUCUGGGUCCUUGUGAGCAAGGGGUGGGGGGUGGAUAUAAACCAGGAGCUAAAUAACUGAUUAACCAACUGGCUAAGUCACGAACAUUUUUAGUCAAUUAUAUUUGCUACAACGUAUGACAGCCUGUGUGCGCUGUGGGGAGGGAGGCCUGAGGAGGGUGGAGGCGUUAGGAAGGGCCUCGCUGCAAGCAGAGCAGGGAGGACGAGAGGCAGCCGGCCACGCAGCCUCUGCAGGAGGAGUCCUCGGGGAAGCAGCUGGCACCAGGCCCCGGGGGACCAGACACGUUCAAGGCCUGGGUGUCUUGGAAGUUCCCAGGGGAGCGGGGGAGCUGAUGCUGAAGAGUGAGUGGGGAGCUGGCCUCAGAAGCCUGUGGACUGUGGUCUGGGGUCUGCAGAGAUGGUUGAAUGGUUCUGAGUUCCAGCACGUUAGACCGGAUCACCUGGACG